GACAGAGGCCUCAAGCGUUAGGCGGAAUCACUGGGCUUAAAGCGUGUGUAGGCGGAUCGUUAAGUGUCUUGUGAAAUCCCACGGCUCACCCGUGGAACGGCUGGGCAUACUGGCGAUCUUGGGCCAACUAGGGGCAACUGGAACAAGCGGUGGAGCGGUGAAAUGCGUAGAUAUCGCGUGGAACGCCGAAGGUGAAAACAGGUUGCUGGGGUUGUGCCGACGCUGAGACACGAAAGCCAGGGGAGCAAACGGG
rnacentral:rRNA from 1 species